CCGUGCGUCGCUGCGGAUCUGCUGGAAAGGAGGCCUGGACCAAGGACAUCUGGGACAGCUUUUGCACUGAGUUACAGAGGCCUGGCCCGGCUGACUUGCUUUCCCUCACGCUCUAUGCAAGUUCCUUGACUGCUACCAACUCAUACUUCUUGCCAGUGCGCCUCAUUUCUUCCGUAGAAGCCCGAGGAAGAAGUUUUUCUCAGUUUAAUCCCUUCUUUCCCAUGUUUUUGGCUGUGGCCAAUUGCCUCUUGGUAAGAUGUUGCCAGUGAGGCGGCUCCUGUGUCUCUGUCCAGCCCCACGUCGUGCUGUAGACGGGUACCCUGCGGCACUGGAGCCAGUAAAGUCAACGCCUGAACUAGAGGUAACACGCAUUUAUCAUGGAAAUCGAUUUGUUUAGAGAACAAAUCAACUUAGUGAUAACCUUUACUUCCUAUAGACCGAGGUUAUUUAUUGUAUUGCCAUU